rnacentral:rRNA from 1 species
UACGGAGGGGGCUAGCGUUGUUCGGAAUUACUGGGCGUAAAGCGCACGUAGGCGGCUUUGCAAGUUAGAGGUGAAAGCCCGGGGCUCAACUCCGGAAUUGCCUUUAAAACUGCAUCGCUAGAAUUGUGGAGAGGUAAGUGGAAUUCCGAGUGUAGAGGUGAAAUUCGUAGAUAUUCGGAAGAACACCAGUGGCGAAGGCGACUUACUGGACACAUAUUGACGCUGAGGUGCGAAAGCGUGGGGAGCAAACAGGAUUAAGAAACCCC